rnacentral:lncRNA from 1 species
UAAGCAUCUUAAAUAUCUCCUGCAUCUUUAAUAAUGUGGAUAGGAAAGGCAUUACCAAGUUUUCAUGGAAGAGAAAGAAACUACAAUCUUGUUCGUCACACAGUUCAGUCAUGUCAUACGAGAGAUUUAACAUUCUAUCAUUAUGGACUAUUUCAGUUGCAUAUCUGAGGCAAUAUGCUUACAGUUUUCGGGUUUUAUGUUAUACAGGAGAAGAAAUUGAAAGAAAAUAUACAAAACUGGUGGUUGUGAUUUGGCUCUUUGUUGUGUUGGUAUUAACCUCAAGUUACGAGGCUAGCCUCACUUCAAUGCUGACUGUUCCACGCCUUGAGCCAACUGUGACUAGCAUAGAUUCGAUAAGGAAAACUAAUGCAACAGUUGGAUGCGACGGUGAUUCUUUUGUAGAAGAUUAUCUGAGGAAUAUAAUUAAACUUCAAAAUAUCAAAACCAUAAGCAGCCGAGAGAGUUAUUCGGAGGCAUUUAAGAACGGAAGUAUUGCUGCUGCAUUUCUUGAACUCCCUUAUCGGAAAAUUUUUCUCAAAGAUCACUGCAAAGAGUAUAUAGUGACCGGACCUACCUACAGUUUUGGAGGACUAGGAUUUGUAAGNNNNNNNNNNNNNNNNNNNNNNNNNNNNNNNNNNNNNNNNNNNNNNNNNNNNNNNNNNNNNNNNNNNNNNNNNNNNNNNNNNNNNNNNNNNNNNNNNNNNNNNNNNNNNNNNAAAAAAAAAAAAAGACUAAGAAAAAUUAGACAUUUUCAAGAUCCAAGCACGGGCUCAGCCAUCUCGGUGAUCUUUAGUAUUCUGUGCAAAUCUCAAGUUUGCUAUGUAAAAGUCAAGUUUGCUCGACAAAUCUCGAGUUUGUUCGAUUGCCUAAUUUCAAGUGCCAAUAAUUUUUUAUGCACAAUUUCGAAUUGCAAUCCAGUAUUUACAUUGAACUCUAAAUUCAAUUUAUCUAUUCAAUGAUAUAUUAUUUUCCACUGCGAGUUCCUCAUUUUGCAAUCCGGAACGUUUGAGAAUUAAUGCUUAUUCAUAUUGAGAGGAAAUUCAGUCGGCAAGAGCUGUAAUUUUUAUUUUGUAUUUUUCAAAAUCAUCGUCAAUGUUGCGUAAUUUGCUUUUUCUUUUCUUUUCUUUUUUUUCUUUCUUUUUUGUUUUUUUCCUCUCUUUGACAAGUUCAAGUUUGUUGAGGUUAUUGAAGUGGACCAAUAUCCACAAUUUUAUUUUUUAUUUUUGCUUACAGUUGACAUUUUCCGAUUUUAGACGUGUCAAUGUUUCUCAUUAUUCAGUAAGGAGAAUCUUCUCCUUCACUUUCAUUUGGUCAAACGGUGACUUAGACUUGUAUACGUUAACCUUAAUAUUAUUAUCAAGAAAAUUCCAUAUGAUUAAUUUCUGAAAAUUCAGCAAUUAUACAAUUCUAUUUAAUGAUUGAUUGAAUUCUUUUUUUAAGUGUUUUCACAUACGUUUCUGUCCAUAGAAGUAGGAAUAGAAUUUUAUAAAUCAUUAUCAUUAAUCCUUUUUAACGAACUGAAGAAUACAGCAAAAAAAAAAAUGCCUUUUCAUUUAUCUAGCAGCAAAGCAGGUUCAAAAGUGCCCUGUUUUUCAUCUCUCGUUCUUGCAUCUUUUGUGUUCACUUUUUGUAUUGGGUUAGCAGUAGAAGCUGACAAUUCAGUCACAAACAUUGGAGCAAUUAUCGAUGUUGAUUCCCGAGGCGGGAAGGAACAGAAAAUGGCCAUGAUCAUGGCCGUGCAGAACUUCAACAACAAUUCAAGGAAUCACGGGCUGAAUAUUUAUUUCAAAAACACCAGCAAAGACCCUGUUCAGGCUGUUUCUACAGGUAUCUAUCUUGAUAUAUUCCCUAUAUAAAAGAGUCUUUGAAUCGGGAAGUUGCGUCAUAAAGAGACGAUACCCUCUUUAAUAUAGAAUCAGGUGUCAUAAUCGGCAUUCUUUUUCUCUUCCUUGAAACUAUGAUUUCUUAUAAUAAAUUAUCCAGCAGAAAUGAUCGAAUUCGUUUUCUUGAGUUGCAGCCAAAGAGCUGAUUGGAGGAAAUCAAGUUCAAGUUAUUAUUGGGACGCGAACAUGGGAAGAAGCAGCUUUAGCUUCAAAUGUUGGAAAGCCAGCGCAAGUGCCAGUCCUUACAUUAGCAGCAGCUUCCAGGACACAACCAACGACCCAGAAUCAAUGGCCUUUCUUGGUAGAGAUGGCUACCGAUAGCCAGGAACAGAUAAAUUGUAUUGCAGCUAUUGUCAAUUCCUACCACUGGCGAAAAGUAAUAGCAAUUCAUGAAGACAACAGUUAUUUUGCCGAUUCUGGGUUGCUUCCUAUGUUAUCGGAGGCUCUUCAAAAUGUUGGUGCAGCUAUUGAGUAUGAUCUCGUCCUUCCACCGUUCUCUUCUCUAUCUGAUCCGGAGGGGUUUGUUCGACAAGAAGCAGCGGAGUUAUUGAGGAAGCAGUCUCGGGUGUUUAUAGUUCUUCAAUCGUCCUUAGAACUGGCUACACAUUUACUCAGAGAAGCUAAGCGGAUAGGACUAAUGGGUAGAGAAUCAGUAUGGAUUCUGACAGACUCUAUUUCGGAUUUUCUGGAUUCUGUUGAACCCAAUUUUGUCUCUUCCGCACAAGGUGCUAUAGGGAUCAAGAGCUAUUAUUCAGAAAGCAACAGGCAGUUUCUAGACUUCAAAGAUCAAUUUCGGAAGAAUUUCAGACUGGAGUAUCCAGAUGAAGACAAUUGGGAUCUUGGAAUCCAUGCUUUAAAAGCAUAUGAUAGCAUUACAGCUAUAGCGGGAGCUGUGAAAGAAUUAGGUGGGAACAAUACUAGUAAUCCAAAGAUGCUGCUCAAUGAAAUUCUAUCCAGCAAUUUUACUGGACUAAGUGGUGAAAUUCGUUUCCGUAGUGGGAAAUUAAAGCAGAAAUCAAUGUUCAAGAUUAUUAACAUUGUUGGAAGGAGUUAUAAAGAGCUAGGCCUCUGGUCAUCACAAUUUAACUUCUCAGAGAACCACGUGGAGAAGAAGGGCGGUGUGGUUAUUGGUGUUGACAGUAUGGACGAAUUGCUCAGUUUGGUAAAUUGGCCAGGAGAAUUGAAUCGAGUCCCAAAAGGGUGGGAAAUGCCUACUGACGUAGCCCCCAUGAGAAUUGGAAUUCCGGGAAACAAUUCCUUCCCAGUGUUUGUAAAGGUAAAGCGUGGCCAUAAUCCAAAUGAGAAGGAAUAUGAUGGUUUUUGCAUUGACAUUUUUGAAGAGGUGAUAAAAGUAUUGGGUUAUCCCCUGCAUUAUGAAUUUGUUCCCUUCAACGGUAGCUAUAGUGAACUGGUUGAGAAUGUGGCAAAUAAGGUAAUACUUUCAUCUGAGACAUUCUUCUUUUCAAAAAAGGAUCGAUAAUAUUGCCUGUUUUUCUACUUCUUGUAUGCAUGAGAUCUAAGUUUAUUCAGUACACUUCCAUAAACAUUUCGAUUUGUAAUUAAAAAGCACAUAAUCUGCCUAAAUUCCCUGCAUUUUCUCCAGCUUGUCAACAAGAAAUAUGAAGUAUUCAGAACCUAAAUAACUAAACUUAUUUACUAAUUCUUGUUUUUUUCCACAAUGUGCAUGAAAGAGUUUUGAUGCUGCUGUGGGCGAUGUAACCAUCUUAGCCGAUCGGUCAAGAACUGUAGAAUUUACUCAACCAUUUAUGGAGUCUGGCUUGUCAAUGUUGGUUCCAACCAAAAUUGAACCACAGAUGGCAUGGAUAUUUAUGAAGCCUUUCACUAGGAAUAUGUGGACGGUUAUUCUAGCCAUUUUACUCUACACAAUGUUCGUCAUUUGGUUUAUGGAGCAUCAGUCUAAUCCAGAAUUUAAAGGGCCAUGGAAAGUUCAACUUGCAACCGCAAUGUGGUUCACAUUCUCUUCUCUAUUCUUCGCCCAUGGUAAGCAUCUUAAAUAACGAGUGAGUGUUGGGAAGUUUUCACUAAAAUUUUGUUCGUCUCACUUUUUAAUCUUUUCAUACCACACAUUCUUAGAGAUCUAACAUUCUAACAUUUAUGAACUAUUUUAUUUCAUAUCAGAGGCAAUAUAUUUACAUUUUUAGGGUUAUAUAUUUUACAGGAGAAAUUAAAAGCAACUAUACUAAAAUGGUGGUUGUGGUGUGGCUCUUUGUCGUAUUGAUAUUAAUCUCGAGUUACGAGGCCAACCUAGCUUCAAUGCUGACCGUCCCACGACUUGAGCCAAGUGUGGCUGGUUUAGAUUGGAUAAUGAAAACUAAUGCUACAGUUGGAUGCGACGGUGACUCUUUUGUGGAAGACUAUCUGAGGAAUGUAAUUAGACUUCCAAAUAUCAAAACCAUAAGCAGCCAAGACCAUUAUUCGAAGGAAUUUGAGAGUGGAAAUAUUUCUGCUGCAUAUCUUGAACUUCCUUACCAGAACGUUUUUCUCAAAGAUCACUGCAAAGAGUAUAUAGUGACUGGACCUACCUACAGUUUUGGAGGACUAGGAUUUGUAAG